UUUUUUGGUUGUAUGGAAUAUGUUAGAAUAGGUACCAUUGAUUAUUAUAUCCAGUUUGAAAUGUAAACAGUAAAGACUGCCUCACGAGAUCCAAACAAUUGAUUGCCUUUCAGAACCCACAGCCAUCUCUGGAUAAUGUCAAGAUUAAAAGGGAAGACUCUGCCAAAGAUAAGAAAAUCCCACCUGGUUUCAAAAGCGACAUUGAGAGCAUGGAAAAGAGAGUGGAGUUCUUAAAUAUGAUGAAAAGCACCAAAACGAGAUUAACAAAGAUGCAAGAAGACAAUGAAUCCUCUUCAUGACUAUGGAGAAGGUAAAGGGUAGCGGCGUCUUUCCAAGUUGGACAGCCCUUGGUGAGGUGGAAGCCGUCCCACUACCCAUGUGUGUUAUGAUCAGUAAAUACAAGCCCGGCCACACGGUGUGUGUCGCUGUGAUUGGCAAGUUUGGCCGGUACGGACCUUAUAGUACUGUUGUGAACGCAACCGUACCCGAUUAGGAUAUUUGGUCAAGGGAGAAAGACCAAUAACAGCUACUUCAACAAGGAUUUUCCACAUGAAGGACCUUAUUUAUUUUUUUUGCAUUUUUUUUUAUCAAUUAUCAAUAUUUUUAUAAUGUAAAAAGCUUUUAUUGUUCAUUGAGUUACUGAAGUUGUAAAUGUUUUAUUAAUGUAAAAAGCUUUUAUUGUUCAUUGAGUUACUAAAGUUGUAAAUGUUUUAUUGUAUGUUCUGAAUGGUCACUUGUUGAAUUAAAAAGUAGAAAUCUUUAA